GACGAACGCUGGCGGCGUGCUUAACACAUGCAAGUCGAACGGAAAGGCCCUGCUUUUGUGGGGUGCUCGAGUGGCGAACGGGUGAGUAACACGUGAGUAACCUGCCCUUGACUUUGGGAUAACUUCAGGAAACUGGGGCUAAUACCGGAUAGGAGCUCCUGCUGCAUGGUGGGGGUUGGAAAGUUUCGGCGGUUGGGGAUGGACUCGCGGCUUAUCAGCUUGUUGGUGGGGUAGUGGCUUACCAAGGCUUUGACGGGUAGCCGGCCUGAGAGGGUGACCGGCCACAUUGGGACUGAGAUACGGCCCAGACUCCUAGGGGAGGCAGCAGUGGGGAAUAUUGCACAAUGGGCGGAAGCCUGAUGCAGCAACGCCGCGUGCGGGAUGACGGCCUUCGGGUUGUAAACCGCUUUCGCCUGUGACGAAGCGUGAGUGACGGUAAUGGGUAAAGAAGCACCGGCUAACUACGU
rnacentral:rRNA from 1 species